rnacentral:rRNA from 1 species
CACGCCGUAAACGAUGGACACUUGAUGUUGAAGGUAUUGACCCCUUCAGUGUCGAAGCUAACGCGUUAAGUGUCCCGCCUGGGGAGUACGGUCGCAAGAUUAAAACUCAAAGAAAUUGACGGGGGCCCGCACAAGCGGUGGAGAAUGUGGUUUAAUUCGAUGCAACGCGAAAAACCUUACCUGGGUUUGGAAUCCCAUGAACGCCGGAGAGAUCCGGAAGACUCGAAAGAGACAUGGAGACAGGUGC